GUCCACGCCCUAAACGAUGUCUACUUGCUGUUGGGGGUGAAACCUUAGUAGCGAAGCUAACGCGAGAAGUAGACCGCCUGGGGAGUACGGUCGCAAGAUUAAAACUCAAAGGAAUUGACGGGGACCCGCACAAGCGGUGGAUGAUGUGGAUUAAUUCGAUGCAACGCGAAGAACCUUACCUGCUCUUGACAUGCCAAGAAUCUUGUAGAGAUAUGAGAGUGCCUUCGGGAACUUGGGCACAGGUGCUGCAUGGCUGUCGU
rnacentral:rRNA from 1 species